rnacentral:snRNA from 1 species
CAAUGCUCACAGCUCUUUUUGAAUUUGUCUAGCAGGUCUUCUAUUUUUUUACCGGAAGGCCCUC